GACGAACGCUGGCGGCGUGCUUAACACAUGCAAGUCGAGCGAUGAAGCUUCUUCGGAAGUGGAUUAGCGGCGGACGGGUGAGUAACACGUGGGUAACCUGCCUCAUAGAGGGGAAUAGCCUUCCGAAAUGAAGAUUAAUACCGCAUAAGAUUGUAAUAUCGCAUGAUAUAGCAAUUAAAGGAGCAAUCCGCUAUGAGAUGGACCCGCGUCGCAUUAGCUAGUUGGUGAGGUAACGGCUCACCAAGGCGACGAUGCGUAGCCGACCUGAGCGGGUGGUCGGCCACAUUGGGGCUGAGACACGGCCCAGACUCCUACGGGAGGCAGCAGUGGGGAAUAGUGCACAAUGGGGGAAACCCUGAUGCUGCAACGCCGCGUAAGUGAUGACGGUCUUCGGAUUGUAAAGCUCUGUCUUUAGGGACGAUAAUGACGGUACCUAAGGAGGAAGCCACGGCUAACUACGUGCCAGCCGCCGCAGUAA
rnacentral:rRNA from 1 species